UCUAGGUGGCCCUGGGGAGUCCCCAGGGUCAGGACAGAUGCCGGAAAAACUGUGUGCAAACCUGGAGCUUUCUUCAAAGUUUGUCCUGCUCUGCUUUCCUUUUCAAAGUCUCAGGACCGCUGUGGCCGGAGGAGUGCGAGGCAUCAGGGACAGAACAGUUCCAAAGCUGAUGUGCAAAAGCCAUCACAUGGCAGCUCAGGAUUCAUUGCCAAAGGAUCAUUUGCACGAGACUGGUGCAGGUCAGGCAAGCAACACCAAUGCCAGAAGCCAUAAAUUCCACAAAAGGCAAGACAUUUUGGUUCUGAGUUAAUGAGCAAAGAACUUAAGUGCAGGGCGUGUGGGAGCAGCCAUUGAAGAGAGGACCAUUUGCAUAGAUGGAGUCCACCAGCAUUUCCCAGAAUGCUUUUUGUUUUCUACAGUGGUGAGAACUUGUGGCAGAGAUGGGUUUCUCAGUGUAGUUCCAGAAUGAGUGGUCUUUGCCACAAGACGCUGUCACCAAGUCAGAAAGCAAGCAAGUUAAACCACUGCCUCCCAUCCCUGAUGGUUUGUUAACAAAGUCUCAUGUCCAAAUUACAAUUCCUGGGAAGGCAACCUUAUUUGGAAAUAGGGUCUGUGCAAAUAUCAGAAGGACCUCGAAAGGAAAUGAUUCAUAGGACCACUAUCUGAAUGAACCCCCAAUCCAAUGAGAUGUGUCCUUCGAAAGACGUUCAGCGGAGAUGCACAGAGGAAGAGAUGGAGGCAGAGGCUGAGAUUAGAAUGUUACAGUCACAAGCCAAGGUCACCGGAAGCCAUCAGCUGGAAGAGGAGACUGGAAGUUUCACUGCAGCCUCAGAAGACAAAAGGGAGGACAUCUUCAGCCUGGGCGGAAAGAAGUUUCGGUCUCUUCAUACCCGCUAGGAUGGCUGCAAUCAAAAGGAAGGGAGGGAGGAAAGAAAGAAUGAAGGAAGGAAGGAAAGAAGGCAGGCACACAGGCAAGCCAGCACCAGGGAGGCAGAGCUAGGAGCAUUCUAAGUUCCAGGAAAGCCUCGCCUAUAUUGAGAGACUGUAUCUCAAAAAGAAGAUGUUCAAUGAGCAGGUGGAGAAACUGCAAUACUCAUACAUUGGCUGCUGGUGAUGUAAAAUGAUGUGGCCGGUGAGGGAACAGUUCUGCUAGGAAAACAUGCUAGGACACAUGCUUACCGUGUGCAUGGCUCAAGCUUUGCUCUCCAGUGUUCUCCAAAAGAAAAUGUGUAAACAGUUACCAUAAGAUCUGGUCGCUCAUUCCUAGGAACACUCUCAAAGAGUGAGUAUGGGCAUUCAAACAAAGAUUUGCAUCUGAGCAUCUGAGCAGCACUGUUCACAAGACCAGACUAAAUUGUGGAAGAUGCCCACAUGUCCAUCAGUUGGUGGACGGACGAAGAGGCUACAGAACACCCAUAUGACAGAUAUUUAAUCCUAAAAAGGAAACCAGUACUGAGUGGUGCUGGGAAUGGAUAAAUCUUGAAGAGAAGCCAGCCACAAAAGUAUCUGUAUUGUAUAUACAUGAGGCAUCUAUAUAAUUCUAUAUACAUGAGGCAUCCAGAAUGGGCAAAUCCACAGACAUGAAGCAGUUCCAUGGCUGCUGGGGCUGAGGAAGGGAAAUGAGAAGGGAUUGAUAAUUGGGAAUAAGGUUUCUCGUAACACAUACACAACCUAGUGAAUAUCCUAAAGUUACUGAACGUAUACUUUAAAGUGAUUAAAAUGGACAUUUUAUGUUGCAUGAAUUUUGCCUCAAUUUAAAGAGUAUGUGCUUUCUCUGUUUAUGUGUAUGGGUAUUUUGCCUGCAUGUAUGUCUGUGUGCCUGGAUCAAAAGAGGGUAUCAGAACUGGAGUUUCAGAGGAUUGUGACUCACCAUGUAGGUUCUGGGAACAGAACUCACUGCAAGAGCAGGGAGUGCUCUUAACUGCUGAGCCACGACUCCAGUCUCCAGUCCCAUGCACCCCAUUGUUUUCUUUGAGAUAUAGUCUCACUAUGUAGCCAGCAAUGGCUUUGAGCUUCUGAUCCUCCUGCCCCAGUGGUCCUAGUGCUGGGAUUACAGGUGUGAGUUGCCACACGCAGACUAAAAUCAUGUACUGUGAUCAACAGAAGGCACAGAAGUCAGCUCUUGGCUUGCAGCAUUUCAUAAUCUGCCAAUGCCAAACUCUCCCCCCCAAAAGAUACCUCCAAAGCUGCGGUUGCCCUAACAGACAGGCAGGAGGGCCGACUGCAGGAUAAUCUCACUCCCACUUGGAACCUUGUCCUGCACUUUCUCAUAACCUUCAGGAUCAGGAGGAUGUAGAGGAUCCAGAAGGAGCUCCAUAUUCCCCAUAGCCCAGCAACAAGGCAUAUCUAUCCAGCGUCGGUAGAUUCCACAGAAACCAACCACAGGAGGGUUCCAUGUGAAGGAAAAAUGUUCUAGCACAAGAAGGGAAGAGAGUAAGUAGUAGGGGCUGUCGGUGGAUAGCAAAGUUUAGGGUAAGAAGCAAAGGAGGAAAUGCUGAACUUAAUAUUGAAAAGAGAAAAAUUAGAGUGUGUGGGUGUGUCAGUUAUGUGAAAAGAGGUACACAGAUACAAAAGAGAAACAUGGUGGGAGGGGGAGGCAGGGCGAUGAGGCUUGUAUACCUCGUCUCCAUUUCACUUUAGAACCACACAUAUGUUUAGCAGAUUCAAAAGCUAAAACUGGAUUUUGGAAGGAUGGAGUAAUGCAAACAGACCCUACUCAUCUGUUAUGGAGUAAAGAGACAGAGGUGGGGGGUAUUGUUGACUGAAGUGAGGAGUGUGAAGUGAUCAUGGAGACAGGUGACCUUUAGGGCUCUUAUGAAAAUACUUAAUGUGGUCGGCAUAAUUUGGCCGAAGCCUGCAACUCCAGAUAUCUUGACAGAAGCCACGUUAAUGGGGCGAGCAACCUUCUGACCACAAGACCCUCAAGGGACUUUUUCAGUAAACCAUUCUAUAGCUCUAUUUGGGCUUCCAGGGCUGGUGAGCUCAGGCCUUGAGGUCCCCCAAGGUAAGAAUUACCACUUCCUGUAAAAAGUCACAUGCAUCUUGGUUCCCACUAUGGCCAAAAAUCAAAUCAGACUCUGCAUAUCU